rnacentral:sRNA from 1 species
AUGGUAUGUAUGUUAUUUUGAUACACUUACUCCCUUUACUUCACAUGAGAGAUGCAUUGCACUUUUUUCCCUUUUUAUUUAUUUAUUUAUUUUGAAUAUUAUUUUUGUUUAAAUUUUAUUAACUAUUAUAUGUUUUGGUGAUUUACUUACCCUAUUGUUCAACUAGGGUUCAGAUAAAAUUCGAAGCAUGAUAUUGUGGUCUCCUAAAUCAGAACCAGAAGAGGUGCAAUUAAAGGCACAAUUUUGUAAGAUGAAAAAUCUUAGAUUGCUUUUGAUUCGUAAUGUACGUUGUUGCAAUGGACCCCUUGAAUGUCUUCCCAAUAAAUUAAGCUUGCUUGAUUGGCGUGAAUAUCCAUUUUCUUCGUGGCCACCAAAUUUUUUUCCAGAAAACUUGGUUGUGCUCAACUUGCCUUUUAUUCUAUUAAAGGAACCAGUACUCAAGCAGCAGGUAUGAUCAUUAGCAUUUAUAAAUUAUUAUUUUUUUCAAAGUUUUUAAUUUUUAAUUUAUUCAUGUAUACUUCUUUAAAGAUUAAACCAUGUUCUAACUUUCAAAUUUUUUUUUUCUACAGAAAUUUGUAUCUGUGACAUAUGUGAACUUCAGUGGCUGCGAACUGAUUACGAAAAUACCUGACUUAUCAAUGACCCCAAACGUAACGACAUUGAAACUUAGAUACUGUAGAAAUUUAGUUGAGAUUGAUGACUCCGUGGGGCAUCUUGAUAAGCUUGAAGAGUUGAACCUUUUCGCUUGCAAAAAACUUGAAACUCUUCCGAACUGUCUCACGAUGAAAUCUCUUACAAAAUUUGAUCUGCAAUUCUGCGAGAGUAUUAAGAAGUUCCCAAAUAUCUUGCACGAAAUGGAAGGUGUUGAAUUUUUACAUCUUCAGGGGAACUGUACUAUUGAAUUGCCUCCAUCAUUUGGGAAUUUGAUUGGGCUUAUGGGCUUAGAAUUGAGUGUUGAAGAGGCACAUCUUCCGGGUAGCAUCUAUAAUUUACAGCAUAUAGAGUCUCUUUAUUUUAGUGGCAAUAUCAUAUUUCCAAAGAAUGUGGAGAUUGAUAGACAGCCAAUGUGCAACUCUCUUGGUUGCUCUUCCAAAUAUGUUUUUCCAAUGUUGAAACAACUCUCUUUUUUCUUCAAUGAAAUUUGCUCAGAAAUAGAAUUUAUUUUGAAUUAUUGUUGCCCCCACACACUGGAAGAGUUAGAAAUCUAUGGCAGCAAAGUUGUUACCAUCCCAGAAAGCAUGGGCAGAUGUGAGAGAUUACAUACGCUUAUUAUUAGAGAUUGCAAUGAGUUUCGGGAAAUCCUAGGGCUUCCACGUAGUAUAAGAAAGGUAGAAGUAGUAAAUUGCCACUCGUUGGAUUUACAAUCAUUCUUUCAGGUAUAUCUCUCUCUUAAAGAUAUUAAGAAACUAUUUGUGUUACCUUCACAAAUACUACAUGAUUUGCUAAGAUGUAACUUAUUGAAUUUGCUAAUUGCAUGCAGUUGCUUUCAGAAAUCAUGGGGCUUCCACCAAAUCUACCACCAUUUUUAGGUGUAACAAGCCACAUGUUUCCACACUCAUCUACAAUGCCUCCAAUUUGGCCAAACCGCCUUUGGGAAUAUAGUUUUGAGGUAACAGGAGAUGAGAAUGAUAUUCCAAAUUGGUUUAACCAUCAAAGGGAUGGAAAUUUAAUAUCAUUCUCGAUUGGUCCCAAAUUUCCAACAAUUGCUCUCUGCAUUGCUUUUGGAAUACAAGAUUAUUAUAGUUAUUUUGAAUAUCGUGUCAUCAUUUCCAUCAAUGGUAGUAAACGAACGUUUGAAAGAACAUUCUUUUAUACAUAUAGCUGCUCUGGGCAUCUGAGUUUUUUCUGUAGAAGUCAGAGCUCAUUGCAGAAACAAUUUCGGGACUUGCAACUAACUGGUCGGAAUCAUGUUGAGAUCCUCUGUGAAACUUUCAAAUCUGAUCAUCCUCAUUACAGAGAAUGUAUUGCUCCUUUCGUUAGAAGGAUAGGAGUCCUUGUAGAAUGCAAUUGCCCUCAUCAUCAAAAUCCCAGUAUCUUUCAAGACAUUAGUGGGCACCUUUCUUUGCAAUUAGGUUUGGGACUUCAAAUGGAUACAGAAAAUGGAUCAGACUUGGGCGUUACAGGCUCAGCUUUUACAGCUUCAAAGCAUCUCCACCCUCUCAUGUUGAAGUCUCUACGUCGCGCUGCAAUAGCAGAUAAGAAGUAUGGAUCAGACUUAGGUUUGGCAUUAGACUCAUUAAAUGUUGAUGGGUUUGAUUUGGGUUCAUCUUCGGUGGCCCAGCCCGUAACGCCCCAAGUUAAAAAAAGAAAAAGAUAAGUAAAGGUCCGAUUUGUUUUUUUAGUGCUCCACCUACCCCACCUAAUUUCCACCGCUCAUCUCUUUGGCCGGCUCACUUCUUUCUUCUUUUUCAUUUUUGCAGCUCCACUAUCAUUUUUUUCCAGCAAGAUCACCAGGAAAAUCCUUAAGAACAUCUAAGCACCUUCACAUAUUUUAUUUGAGGUAAAAGUUUUAAUCUCUUUUGAUAGGUUCUAUGCUAUUGUUUGAGGUUAUUUUUAUCUAUGCUUUGAUAAGGAUACCCAUAUGAUUUAUGAGCUUUGGAAGUGAUAUUUAUGUGUUUAUAUGUAUGGGUUUUAUAUUGGUGGAGUUAUUUGAUAAGUGGGUUUAUGGGGAUUUUGAGUUAUAACAUGUGGUAGUUGGUAAAACUAAUUUUUCUAUUCCUAUUGGAAAAAUUUGGGGAUUUUGCUUUGAACUCCAAUCAGUUUCCACUGUGGGAGAGAAUGGGAAGACUCUUGAUUGGCCUGUUCUUGAUGGUCUUUUUAUUUUUAUUUUUUAUUUUUAAGUAAUUGUAAUUUAUCAAUUGGACUGUUCAAUGCGACAUUGGUCUUAUCAUGACAAAGAUGCUCUAAGCCAUAGAUGCAAACAUUUGAGAAGGCAAUAUAAUGAGAAAUGUAACCACUGAUAUUAUGUCUACGAUUCUUAUAUCCAAUCUUGUAUCUUUAGAACAUUUGUUGUUCUUUAUCCUGCAUCCUUAUGCUUCGUCAUAUAAAAAUUAAUCUGUUCUGAGUUGUCACAGAUAA